UCUUCUCUGGAACACUCCCUCCAGAACUUGGUAAUUUAGUCAAGCUCGAGGAAAUUUACAUUGACAGCUGUGGACUCAGUGGUGAAAUUCCUUCAACAUUUGCCAAGCUCACCAACAUGCAAACCCUCUGGGCAUCGGACAGUCCGUACUCAGGAAAGAUACCUGAUUUCAUAGGGAAUUGGACACA